ACGAAGCUUCCGAGGUUAAUAGCCUACGGGGUGACGGUACCCCCAGAAGAAGCCCCGGCUAACUACGUGCCAGCAGCCGCGGUAAUACGUAGGGGGCGAGCGUUGUCCGGAAUCAUUGGGCGUAAAGCGCGUGUAGGCGGCUCGGUAAGUCCGGUGUGAAAUCUUGGGGCUCAACCCCAAGCCUGCACUGGAUACUGCCGAGCUUGAGUCCGGGAGGGGAGAGCGGAAUUCCUAGUGUAGCGGUGAAAUGCGCAGAUAUUAGGAAGAACACCGGUGGCGAAGGCGGCUCUCUGGAACGGUACUGACGCUGAGACGCGAAAGCGUGGGGAGCGAACAGGAUUAGAUACCCUGGUAGUCCACGCCGUAAACGAUGGGCACUAGAUGUGGGCGGUGUCGACUCCGUCCGUGUCGAAGCUAACGCAUUAAGUGCCCCGCCUGGGGAGUACGGCCGCAAGGCUAAAACUCAAAGGAAUUGACGGGGGCCCGCACAAGCAGCGGAGCAUGUGGUUUAAUUCGACGCAACGCGAAGAACCUUACCUGGGCUUGACAUGUCCGUGUAAACCCUGGAAACAGGGUCCCUCUUCGGAGCGCGGUCACAGGUGGUGCAUGGCUGUCGUCAG
rnacentral:rRNA from 1 species